UUGAUGUUUUGUUUUCUCUUUUCCACUCUUCUUUCCUUUUUGAAUCUCUCAUUAAAAUGAUUUUUGCAGAAAAUAAAUGAGAAGCUGGGUGCAGCAAAAAGAAGGUGACGACGAUGUUGUAGUCAUCGAAGAAAGUGAAAAAGAC
rnacentral:ribozyme from 13 species